AAUGGGGGAAACCCUGACGCAGCAACGCCGCGUGAGUGAAGAAGGCCUUAGGGUUGUAAAGCUCUGUCAUAUGGGAAGAUAAUGACGGUACCAUAAGAGGAAGCCACGGCUAACUACGUGCCAGCAGCCGCGGUAAUACGUAGGUGGCGAGCGUUGUCCGGAUUUACUGGGCGUAAAGGAUGCGUAGGCGGAUAUUUAAGUGGGAUGUGAAAUCCCCGAGCUUAACUCGGGGGCUGCAUUCCAAACUGGAUAUCUAGAGUGUCGGAGGGGAAAGUGGAAUUCCUAGUGUAGCGGUGAAAUGCGUAGAGAUUAGGAAGAACACCAGUGGCGAAGGCGACUUUCUGGACGAUAACUGACGCUGAGGCAUGAAAGCGUGGGGAGCAAA
rnacentral:rRNA from 1 species